GUGCUCACUUCGGCAGCACAUAUACUAGAACUUGGAACAAUACAGAGAAGAUUAGCACGGGCCCCCACCCAAGGAAGACAUACAAAUUUAUGAAGCGUUCCAUGUUUUA
ensembl:snRNA U6 U6 spliceosomal RNA